AGAGCAACUCUAAGUGUUUACAGCCAAUAGAUCGGAGAAAAGAAGUUCAGCUGUGGUUGAAGAAAAGGACAAAAGAUGUCAAUAAAUAUUUCUGAGAGACAAUGGAAAAUGGCCUUGACCUCCAUAGUGGAGGAGCUGGAUGAGUCAGGAUACAAGAAGAUGUUGGGUUGUUGCUGUUUGGACAAAAUCCCUAAAAGUGUAAAGACUGGCACAUCCAAAGAGGAGAUGCCUCAAUUAAUCAUCCAGCACUUAGGAGUAGAUGAGUCCAUCUCUGCAAUCAAUGAAGCAAUGGAUCUGAUACCAAGGAAGGACUCUGCAGUCCAGGACAAGCUGCGCCCCUUUGUGGACAAACUGAGGAACAAACGUGAAGAAGAGAACAGAAAGUCCAUGAAGGAAAUGAAGGAGGAAACAACCAAAAACCAGAGGGUGACGAUGACAACGUUGGCUGAAAC